AGAAGGCUGGAAGCCCACGGAAGCCAUGCUGGAUUUGAGCCCAGAUCCCAAAUCUCCAGCCUGUUGUCUUCUCACCACCCACAAGCGCAGGGAGGUUGGUGGCUGUGUGCCAGCGACCCUCCAUGCUGGGACCACCUGCCCGAGCCCCACUCAGACAACUGGGACAAGCUGGUGUUGGUGUCCAUCGAUCCCGGGACGGGGCCUCUACCCAGGGGUCUCCAGUUGGCAGAGAUGGACAGAACCUCACACAUCCAAUGGGAAGGAGCUAUCGUCCUACGUGCCUGGCUUCUGUCUCAGGCCUCAGCAAUGGCAGAAGUGACCUCCAACCACUGGUAUUUCUGAGGGGCUUUGAAUCUAACCAAAGUGCCACUGCAGUCUGUCCACACCCGGGCCUAGGUCCCGUCUCUCACAUCGUUGUGAUCCAUCAACACGCGCCGACGGUUCAUUCCAUUAUCCGAAUGCAGCUUCCGCUGCCGUGUCAUCUGUCUGGGGUACAUACCUGGGAGGGGAAGGUUAAUUCGAUAUUCAAGUUCAUUCCCAAAGUGACCACCCGCUUACAUGCUCAUCUGUGACAGAGACACCACAAACCCUCUAGGCAACUGGCUUGUCAGUUCAUGACGUGCGCCACUUGAAUGGGGUGCACGACGGUACUUUCUUCGCGGUCUUGAUUUACAAGGAAUGCCAGAAUUGCUAGUGGGGCUGAGCAUCGUUUUUUGGCCUUACUUCCUCUUUCACGAAAUACCUGUUAACACCUUCCUUCUCUGUGGGGUUUUUCUCUGGACAAUUUGCCGGAAUUCUUUACAUGUAUAUAUAUAUACAUAUUUAAAAAUUUUUUUAUUUACUGACAGAGAAAGAGAGGAGGCAUCCUGGAGAGGGGCAGAGAGAAUCCCAAGCAGGCCCCAUACCGGCAUUAGAGUCUAACACAGGGCUUCAACCUACAAACCGUGAGAUCAUGACCUGAUCUGAAACCGAGCGUCUGAUGCUUCAACUGAGCCACCCAGGCGCCCCUGCAGGAAUUCUUUACACACCCCUCAUCUUUUGUUUUAGUCUUUAACGUGUCUUUUCAUUUUGUUUAUAUUUUGAUAGAAUACCUUGAAAAAAUAUCUAGGGGCGCCGGGGUGGCUCAGUUGGUUAAGUGGCCGCCUUCAGCUCAGGUCAUGAUGUCUGAGUUCAAGCCCCGCGCUGGGUUGACAGCUCAGAGCCUGGAGCCUGCUUCCGAUUCUGUGUCUCCCUCUCUCUCUGACCCUCCCCCACUCACACUCUGUGUCUCUCAAAAAUAAACAUUAAAAUAAAAAAAUAUCUAUUGAGCAUACUCUUAGUUUCAAGAAUAUAAUGCAUGAGAAAGACCCUACAGAUUCCAAGGCACCUUGGUGCUAUUUACAGAAUCUCUAGGCUACCUGAAAAGCUGCUCUGACUUCCCUCCCUCCCAAUCCCAUUCAAAAAGAGAAGCUUCGAGGCCAGUAAUAAUGAAUAAUUUUAUUAACGUUUACCUUGUUUGUCUCCAACAGUGAACAAAAGAACAGGUACAGGAAACAAUUCUCUCUGGUCCCCAAACUGCAUACCAAAGAGCCCGCCAUCGUGAAACAGUUUUUGCUUUUAUUUGUAUAUUUGGUAUUUUACGCUUAGAGGGUGGUUACAGAUGGGGGAAGAGAUUAGUAGUAGGUUAUAAUUAAGUACAGUCUUCAUCGUUUUGGUUCAUGUUCAUGACAACAAACUGCAAAAGGAAGCCUCUCAGAGGGAUGUUAUAAGCCUGUUGACUUCCUGUGAGUAUCAAACGUCUCACCGUUGUUCAAGAUUGGCCAAGAAAGCGCAAAGGACAGACCAAAGCUCUUCAUCAAAACUUGAAAGGCAGAUGCGGGGAGGCCCCGGCCGGAUGCUCCCAAGGACACACGAGGGGGUCCAGCCCAAGCAACUGGCCAUCCGUUAGGUCUCCCUGCAGCUCUGCGGUUUCAUGGCUGUUCGUCUGGCGAACCGGGUCUGGGGAGCGUGGGGCACACCAGGUGACGGCCACCUGCGAUGCACGUUGGACUGCUAUCCUGUAUGGAGGAUCCUUUAGAGAUCCCAGGAUGGGACACCCUGUCGGCUUCCCCUCCCGACUUCCCGGAAAGAAAACUGGCAAGAAGUCCACUGGGCAAGACCCACCCCAUUCUCCACCAGACCGAGGUGCCGUGCGCGCGCGCGCGCACACACACACACACACACACACACACACACACACACACACACACACACGACACCGGGCCCUGGCAGGUCCCACUGCGGUUAACAUUCAAAAAACAAUCCUUGCACAGGCUAGUGGCCCCACAUGACCUCAGGAGCCAUGUGGAAUCUGAGAAGAGGGUGGAGGGAAACAACAGAGUAUUUAAGGUACUACUCAUGAAAAGAAACAGAGGCACGUGGCUGGCUCAGCGGGUAGAAUAUGUGACUCUUGAUCCCAAGGUUGUAAGUUCGAGCCCCACAAUAGGCAGUUUCUCUCUAAGUAAACGAACAGGUUUAAGAAUCCCUCGGGGCCACGGAGCAGUCUCACUGCACAGCAAAGGAAUGCUGUUUCUAGUGAGUCUCAAGCAGGAACUGCUUUCCGGGUUACUGUUAACAGGCUCUUGCUCUCAACUAACUUCUCUACCAAGCAGCCUCCUUCAACAAGAAAACCAGGCCAUUCCUUAGAACCCUGAGUCGAGUGUGGACGCCAGGCAACAAUUCCAGCAUCUUCCUCCUUGACCCAAAUGCACACCUCCUGACCUCGCCGCUUCUGCCUCCUGCUAAGACCUCUGAGUCAAGAUGGGCAGCCCCGGCUUCUGGAAGUCUGCCGUGCAAACUUCUCUGUUGAGCCCUGGAGAAACAAUCUGGCCUCUGACAAAAUGGGCUCUGAGAGAAGAACAUUCUUAGAAACCUGAGCCCCUUAUUAAAAGGGCCCAACCUGGCACUCCGUUAAAUUUUGUUUCUCUGAAGGCAGUUCAAGAAUAAGUAGGGGGGAAAAAUGCAGAGAGAGAAACCAGGCAUCAACUGUCUGUCUACACUAAACCUAUUUCCAGAACAUUCAUAGUUGGUAUAAACUUUUAUUUAGGUGCUUACUUGGGGAAAGAUGUGCCUUCCUCUCUUAAUUCAGUUACUGAGAGGAGACAGAUACUAAAACGUUUUCAGUACUACAGGCCAAGGAACAGGUGCCUGUCAAGAGAAACGC